UUAUUCCUUGAGUUCCAAAUAAACCACAUGCCACAACAGUAAAUCUUACACUGCUCUGAGGUACUUGUUCUGAAAACCCAGGUAAUCCAAUCCCAAAAUCCUUGAAUCGUACUUUCACUAAUCACGACAGAUCUAAUAAUGGACAUAUUUCACCCGUUGCAGGACAAUACCUAAAGAUGUGGGUGAUGUUUUCUUCCCCUCUUCCACAUCGAGGACAGGCCGCGUCAUUACUCACCCGUUUAUGUUUUAAAUUAGCUAGAGUAGGGAUAUAGUUCCAAGAUAUUCUCCAUAUUGUAAUUGCUAUCUUAGCAGGUAGUUGUAAAUUCCAUAGCUUACCGUAGAAAUCCUUUAG
rnacentral:lncRNA from 1 species